rfam:Pan troglodytes isolate Yerkes chimp pedigree #C0471 (Clint) chromosome 1, whole genome shotgun sequence.
GCAGGGUGUGGAGGUGCCCACCUGUAGUCUCAGCUACUUGGGAGGCUGAGGUGGAAGGAUUGCUUUAGCCCAGGGUUCAAGGAUGCAGUGAGCUAUAAUUGUACCACUGCGCUCCAGCCUGGGCAACAUAGCAAGAAUCCAUCUCUU